rnacentral:rRNA from 1 species
UGGGGAAUCUUCCGCAAUGGACGAAAGUCUGACGGAGCAACGCCGCGUGUAUGAUGAAGGUCUUCGGGUUGUAAAGCUCUGUCUUUUGGGACGAUAAUGACGGUACCAAAGGAGGAAGCCACGGCUAACUACGUGCCAGCAGCCGCGGUAAUACGUAGGUGGCAAGCGUUGUCCAGAUUUACUGGGCGUAAAGGAUGCGUAGGCGGAUUUUUAAGUGAGAUGUGAAAACCCUAAGCUUAACUUGGGGACUGCAUUUCAUACUGGAAAUCUAGAGUGCGGGAGAGGAGAAUGGAAUUCCUAGUGUAGCGGUGAAAUGCGUAGAGAUUAGGAAGAACACCAGUGGCGAAGGCGAUUCUCUGGACCGUAACUGACGCUGAGGCAUGAAAGCGUGGGUAGCAAACAGGAUUAGAUACCCUGGUAGUCCACGCCGUAAACGAUGAGUACUAGGUGUAGGAGGUAUCGACCCCUUCUGUGCCGCAGUUAACACAAUAAGUACUCCGCCUGGGAAGUACGAUCGCAAGAUU